UAUGAACUAAUCUUGCUUCACUAAAAAAGACCUACAGCUUGGACAAAAGUCUAUAGCCAGUGCAUUCCUAGCUCCCCUUACACAGAGACAGACACAGUCAGAGAGAAGACACGCUGGGUCUCGGCUCGGCUCUCCUCUCCUCUGCGAGCAGGUGGAACUCUGGAUAUCUAUGGGUCUUGGGCCUGCUGGAAAAGACAGGCAGGGUAACGCUAAAAGCCAAGAUGGCGUGGAGCUGUAGAGGGACUGAGACGGGUGGGAGCAGCCGCGCAGCGAGCACUCUGAGCGGGCACACGGAGCGAGUGGACGCUGAUGGAUCAUGAGUGCGGCCGCCGGAGGAGAGCGCAGCCGGGAAGAGCGCCGUCUCGCCGGGCGCGCAUGUGAGGAACCUCCCGGGAGGCAGACGGAACUCUGGAUGUGUCAGUCAAACUGAGUUGGAAACGAGGACAGCCACAGCGUGUAAGUUUCUUGCCUGUAAAUCUCUGCUCUGCUCGGGGAAAUAAAACGGCCCAAAUGAAACGAAGACGCACGCCAAGUAUUUUUUUUCUACUCAAGCAUGGCAGUGAUAAUUGGAUUGUGUGGACACCUGUAUGAGUGCAGUAUAUCCAGGGGAUUAGAGAACGGGAUGGCUUUUGCAGGAUCUGCCGAAACUUGCAGGACAAAUUCUCCUGAUUUGUCAUCUCGCAGAGGACAAGAUCUUGGGACACUGGUGUCAGCAAGCUUCGAGUAUCAACUUUGACCUCUCGGACAAUAACAAACACAUCAUCCCACAGCAGCGGCUCCUUAAAAUGGGUGACGGUGCCAUCUGAACGGCAUGGAGGGACCACUAUGAACGGAUUCAGUGGCGUGAUGACUGGGCAUAUUCUUAUGGCCACCGUGGGGUGGGACGACGUGAACAGUGCAGACUUCAUAAGAGCCCACACAAGACGACUGUCUGCUCUUGACUGAGGAAUUGUUUAUGCUAUGCAAACUCUCACAGCAGCAAACUGUACUAUCCCUGCCAGUCGAGAUUUGAUUUGUUGUUUAGAAACAGUAAUGCUUUUGCCUUUGACAGUAAUGAAUGUCUCUUUUAGGUUCUGGCGCUGGGCACGGACAGUUUUGAUUGUUUGUGUUGAAAUGUUCAUCAUAUCUCAAAUACAAACCUCGCAGAAAUCAAGCCUCCGUUGGUAGGUCGAGGUAUCGUUCUCUCAGUGUUGGCAUUGUGUCGUCCUCCCUGGAGACGGUUAAAUCGGUCGCUUAGAGAGAGUCAUGUCACAGGAAUCUUUGUCGUCGCUAGAUGAUAUCUGGGCUGCAGAGAACUACUUGCCUUCUGGCGUGGCCAUACAAACUGUAUGAAUGGAGGAUGUCUGGACUCUGAUCCAGUAAUUUGAACUCCAAAUGGACAACAGCCUACAAGUCAUCCAGAAACUCUGCUGGUGCCCCUGAAAACACACUUUAACCAGAUAAAUUCACUGAUAUGCCAAGAUCCAAUGUCAAUUGAAUUAAACACAAUUAAUUGCAUACAUCAAAAAUUGUAUGCAGAGGAGACUGUGGGAUUAAAUCAUUGGUUGUUUACACUGUUGUUGGUUUUUACAUUUCAUUUUUAGUAAAAUAACACAAAUAAUUGCAUUGAUCAUAAUUUGUAACGAAAAGCACCCUGAUGAUUUCAAUUCAAUAUAAUGAGCUAUAUAUAUAUAUAUAUAUAUAUAUUUAAAAUAUUUAAUAACAUGAUUAUUUCACAAGAUUAAAUAAUCAGUUUUGUACUAUCACUGUAUUAAAACAAUUAUACUUGAAUUAUAAUUUAAUAAAAUAUACUUCCAUUUGUACUUAAGUUGACAGAAUAUGUAUUUAUUUAUUAAUAAUAUGUGUUCAUUAUUACAUUUAUUAUAAUUGCAAUGAAUUGUUAUGUGUGGGUUAUUUCACAAACCUAUAUACAUCAUGAAAUGAUAAAACAGUAAUUUUCUCAUAUUUUAAAGUAUUUCUACGUAUUGCAUUUAGCAAAAACAGCAUUUUUACUCUUAAAUUGUACACUGAGAAUAUUCAUUAGUAAAAAAAUAACUGAGAAAUACCACAAGAUGCAUUUCUUUAAUGAGAAUUUGUUUUUGUCAUUUUAUUUACGUUUAUUGUUUUUAUUUAAAAAAUUUACAAGUAAGGCAUAACAUAUAUGACUACUUUGUAUUUCGGGCACCUUGAGGAAGGUCAUCAACGAAAUGUCUUCUACAUGUAACAGCCAGGACUGGGUUUGCGCCAUAUUUCUGUCUGAUUUCCCAGUUGGAUUCAAGGCUUUUUUUUUUUUUUUGUAAAUGCAGAGAAAGAAAAAAAAGUCAAGAGCCAAGUUUGAACAAUUUGGAAACCUAAGGACUGACUUCAGCGUGAUCAAGCCAAGCUCUCUAAGAGAGUCAUGGGAGUGAUUCAACAGACAUAUGGCCACACAACCAUAUCCAGCAUCUGCAAUUC